rnacentral:rRNA from 1 species
CGUCCUACGGGGGGCAGCAGUCGGGAAUAUUGCACAAUGGAGGAAACUCUGAUGCAGUGACACCGCGUAUAGGAAGAAGGUUUUCGGAUUGUAAACUAUUUUAGACAGGGAAGAAAAAAGACAGUACCUGUAGAAUAAGCUCCGGCUAACUACGUGCCAGCAGCCGCGGUAAUACGGAGGGUGCGAGCGUUAAUCGGAAUUACUGGGCGUAAAGCGCUCGUAGGCGGCAUGUCAAGUCAAGGGUGAAAUCCCCGCGCUCAACGUGGGAACUGCAUUUGAAACUGUCAGGCUGGAGUGCAGGAGAG